GGGGAUGUGGCUCAGUGGUAGAGCACUUGUCUAGCAUGCACGAAGCCCUGGGUUCGAUUCCUCAGUACCA
rnacentral:tRNA from 1 species